rnacentral:rRNA from 1 species
GACGAACGCUGGCGGCGUGCUUAACACAUGCAAGUCGAACGGAAAGGCCCUGCUUUUGUGGGGUGCUCGAGUGGCGAACGGGUGAGUAACACGUGAGUAACCUGCCCUUGACUGUGGGAUAACUUAAGGAAACUGGGGCUAAUACCGGAUAGGAGCUAUUGCUGCAUGGUGGGGGUUGGAAAGUUUCGGUGGUUGGGGAUGGACUGGCGGCUUAUCAGCUUGUUGGUGGGGUAGUGGCUUACCAAGGCAUUGAGGGGUAGCCGACCUGGGAGGGUAACCUGCCACAAUAGGACUGAGAUACGGCCCAGCCUCCUACGGGACGCAACGGUGGAGAAUAUUACACAGUGGGCUGGAGCCUGGUGUGACAACGCCGCGUGGGGUAAGUGAGGCUUCGGGUUGUGAACCACUGUCGUCUUAGACGAGACGUUAGUGACGGUAAUGGGUAAAUAAGCACCGGCUAACUACGUG